AUGCCGCCGCUGGACACAGACCCUGCGUGCUGGCGCGGGCAGGGCCCUCGGUGCCAGUUUGAAAGGACAAAGGGGAUGGCACCCACUCCUCUGAGGCCAGGACUCAGCAAGCCCCACAGGGCUCUCCCCACCAGGGGCUCUGUUUUGCACACUGCCUGCCCAAGGGCUCAGCCUCUGCUCCCCUCCCCCAGGGCUCUGUUUUUGCACAGGGCCUGCCCAAGGGCUCAGCCUCUGCUCCCCUCCCCCAGGGCUCUGUUUUGCACACGGCCUGCCCAAGGGCUCAGCCUCUGCUCCCCUCCCCCAGGGCUCUGUUUUGCACACGGCACUGCACCGGCUUGUGGCUGUCCUGUCCCUGCCGCUCCCAGGACCCUGGGCUGGUGCAGGGACCGGGUGACCCCCAAGGUGUCCCCCACAGUUAGGGAGGCCUGGCUUCCCCAGGCCGCAGGUCCCGCACAGCAAUGCACAGAGCUCGGAGUCGGGCGGGAGCACCCAGAGUCCAUGGAAAAUGGGUGCUGUGAAAAAACCGCGCGUGGGUUUCAUUCUUUUUUUUUUUUUGCACUGUUAACAAGUUUACUUUCUAAUUCCAUUUUAUUUCCAAAGACUGAUUUAUUCGAAAGGCAGAACUACAGAGACACAGAGAGAUCCGUGUACUUAUUAAGGGCUGGCUCACUCCCCAGGUGGCUGCAUAGCGGGGAGCCAGGAGCUGCAUCGGGGUCUGGUGGGUGCAGGGGCUCAGGGGUGUGCGCCAUCUUGUGCCUUCCCAGACAUUUCCAGGCCUUGCACCCGCGCUCACGUGGGCUGCACAGGGUGCCCCCCAGUCCCACGGUUGGGGGCUUUGUGUCCUGCCCCGAGCCCUGGUCAGCAAGCAGCUCCUGGCGCAUAACAGGGGCACCCAGGAAGUCUGCGGGGCGGUGGCUUGUCCUCUGGCCCUCCCCGGGCCUGCAGGGGCCAGCAUUGCUCCCUGCCCCUCCUAGGUCACUUCACGGGUGUCUGGGUCUCUCCGUGGCCGGUGUUGGUGUCCUGGCCUCGGCCAGGCUAAGGCUGGGCUUCUCCGGCCGGCCUGGGCGCUCCCCCUGCUGA
rnacentral:lncRNA from 1 species